rnacentral:rRNA from 1 species
CGUUCGGGGUGGAUUAGUGGCGAACGGGUGAGUAACACGUGAGCAACCUGCCCUUGACUCUGGGAUAAGCCUGGGAAACUGGGUCUAAUACCGGAUAGUACCCCCUGCCGCAUGGUGGGGGGUGGAAAGCCUUGUGCGGUCUUGGAUGGGCUCGCGGCCUAUCAGCUUGUUGGUGGGGUGAUGGCCUACCAAGGCGACGACGGGUAGCCGGCCUGAGAGGGUGACCGGCCACACUGGGACUGAGACACGGCCCAGACUCCUACGGGAGGCAGCAGUGGGGAAUAUUGCACAAUGGGCGAAAGCCUGAUGCAGCGACGCCGCGUGGGGGAUGACGGCCUUCGGGUUGUAAACCCCUUUCGGCAGGGAACAAGCCGCUUCGGUGGUGAGGGUACCUGCGGAAGAAGCGCCGGCUAACUACGUGCCAGCAGCCGCGGUAAUACGUAGGGCGCGAGCGUUAUCCGGAAUUAUUGGGCGUAAAGAGCUCGUAGGCGGUUUGUCGCGUCUGCUGUGAAAGCCCGGGGCUCAACCCCGGGUCUGCAGUGGGUACGGGCAGGCUGGAGUGCAGUA